GGCGGGGCGGCUGUCCCGCCUCCUCUCCUCUCUCCCUCCCUCCCCGGCUGAGCGGCCUCGGUGGGAAAAAUGGCUCGGCGUAACGCGGUCAGGGCCCUCCGGGCGCUGCUCCUGCAGCCGUCCGCCCGGGCCGCGCCGCUCACCCCGCGGGGACCGGCCGCCUCCUACGGUACUUCAAUAACAUCUGCCAAAAUCCAAGUGAAUGGAGUCCACCUGCAUUAUCAGCAGACAGGAGAAGGAAGCCAUGCAGUUCUUCUGCUUCCCGGAAUGCUAGGGAGUGGUCAAACUGAUUUUGGACCACAGCUUAAGUUUAUGAACAAGCAACUUUUCACAAUUGUUGCUUGGGAUCCUCGGGGAUAUGGACAGUCCAUUCCUCCAUCUCGAGACUUUCCUCCAGAUUUCUUUGAGAGGGAUGCAAAAGAUGCUGUGGAUCUUAUGCAGGCAUUGAAAUUUAAGAAGUUCUCUUUGCUGGGGUGGAGUGACGGUGGAAUUACAGCACUCAUUGCAGCUGCAAAGUAUCCAACUCUUAUCCACAAAUUGGUUGUCUGGGGAGCAAAUGCCAGUGUUACUCAAGAGGAUGUGAGAAUCUAUAAUGGUAUCCGAGAUGUUUCAAAAUGGAGUGAAAAGGUCAAGAAACCACUGGAAGAGAUGUAUGGACAUAAGUACUUUGCAAAAACCUGUGAGGCUUGGGUAGAUGGAAUAUCUUACUUUGCUGAAAAAUCAGAUGGUAAUAUCUGCCAACAGUUGCUGCCAGAUAUUAAAUGUCCCACAUUUAUAAUUCAUGGUGAGAAAGACCCUUUGGUUCCACAAGCUCACGCAGAAUACAUUCAUAAGCACAUCAAAGGCUCUCGGUUGCUUCUGAUGCCAGAAGGAAAGCAUAAUCUACACCUGCGUUUUGCAGAGGACUUCAACAGACAAGUGGAAGAUUUCCUACACUGACUUAAACUAUAAAACAAGUUGAAGACAUUUGUCCUUGCCUUAUUCAGACAUUUUAGUUGGCUUUCCAUUUUCAAGGUGCAGAAACCUCAGCUGCUGGGAAAUGUCAUGAGCAAGGACUGGUUUAAGCUUUGCAACACAUGGAACUGCGUGUGGCAUUAUUACGCAUGGCUUUUGCAAUCACAAAAUAUCCAAAAUUGUGCUGGCACCAAGAUCUUUUCAUCACCUUCUCUAGAAUUUUGUGUUCUUUAAAUCCUGGCUGUUGUCAGUAUUUUCCUUUGAUGUAUUUUUGCAAUACAUAAUCACAGGCAGUCUUUGUUACUGCUCAUGCAACUCGUGCAUAUAUACAUUUCUACUUGCUACAGCCAUAACCCGCCCUUUUGGGUUGCUGUAGGCAGUUACAUCUUCUCACUACCGCUGGAACUGCAACACAACUGUAUCUCUGUGGGAUCCACGCAGGCACUGAAGAGGGUUUUGAGUGCCAAAGUAUUCCUGGCAAUCUAGAAAGGAGCAGCUUGAAGCAUGCUCACUCCCCUCCUGAAGGCACCUGAACCGUCCUUGCCAUGCCUUCUUCCCACAGGCAUAGAGUGGCUUCUUGGGGCUUUAUUGUUAUUCUGUUAAAGAUUUUGAGCUUCUGUAUGGAAUCUGUCUAAUUCUUAGAUGCUAUCGUACUGGUCUCUCUGCAGAGACCAGGGUUUUUUGGGGGUAUUGCUCCAGGUUUUAAACAGAAUACCUGAAGGGAGGUACAUGUUUAUGCAUCUAAUAAGUGCCCUCAUCUACAGCAAUGCUGAGCAUCCAUGAACAUGCAGUGAAGCAAAUUAAAUGUCAGUUACUUGAAUGUCAAUUUGGAAUCCUACAUUUUGGCAAACACCUUAACAAAUAUUAGCCAUCAAUGCUAUUUAAAUCGAUAUGGGAGUUCCCUAUUGUAUUUUUUAAUAUAGCUCCAUAAAUUCUAAAUGGUCAGACUUACAAGUGAAAGUCAAAGAUCUCCCAUUCAUACAAAGGCAGCAGCUGUGCCCAGGAGCACCCCUGUGCCCCUCAGCAGCCCAAAAUCUGCCAGCAGCACCGCAGCCUGCACCCGGCCUGCAUCAAACGCCACCUUCCCCGUUUCCAAGGCAACAGCGGAGCCCAGGAGGUGGAUGCACAAGGGAGGCAACAGGGAUCCCACAACAUUUUCAUGUCCGUCUGUAAUUUCCCAUUGUUCUAAAAAGAAUCACAAAUGUACGAAUGUAAAUGCUGCUCAAGUGUACAAAAUGUCUGAUAAUGGCUUUAUUCUCACUUAUUUGUGAUGGGCGACAUCAUGUACUGUUCAGGCAUGUGUAUCAGAGGCUACAUGACUUUUCGAGUCUUUCUGUUGGUACGCAAAUGAGCAGGCUCUGUUCAUUAGCUUAUUGUUAUUUCCACCUGAUGAAGACUGUCUGAGUUCACCUUUGGAAUCUGAUGCUUAAUCACUUGCCAUCUGCAUUAAGAUAGAAGACUAUUUCUGCCAGCAAGAGGGUGGAAUAAUCGUGAAGGUAUUUUUAAUUCUAGUAAUAAAAUACCAAAAAGGAGAAUCUAUUUUUAUUUCAAAAUUACAACCCACUGAGGUACUAGAAGCAAUUAAAUACUACAACGCUGAGCAUGCUUUUAUGAAUGAGCAAAAGCAGUUUCAUUGUAGUCUUCUGUACUUGUGUUUAUUGUACCUGUUUAUGUGUUUGGCCAAGAACAAAAGAGGAAGGAGGAUAAACAUGUGAGAAAACAUCACGUUAUGGUGCAAUUUAGGGCACUGUCAAUUCUAAAAUGACCCACACUCCUUUUGAGGGAAAGACUGUUUCCUCAUAAACCUAAUAAUUCUUCCAUGCCUUAUGGUUUCUGUUGUGAACUUAGAUUAUAACCUCUGAGAGUCAGGAAUUCCUGUGAUUGUGGUUAUACAGGACCCAGCAAACAGAACCCCACUCGUC